AAAUAUUUUUCCCGGACAGUGGAAAAAUACAACAUUUUUCGUUUGGGCUUUAAUUGUUUUGACUUUUGACUAGAAAAAUGGUUAUUUGGAUGCUGAGAAAAAAAAAACUAUAAACUCCAAUCAGUGGAGCCUGAUAUAAUGGCAGAAGGUUUUUUAUUUGAUUUAUAGGAAAGUUGGAGGAGAAGGAAGGAUGUUAAGAAUGCAAGUGAUUGCAAUGAAGAGUCGACCUGUCGUCUUUAUCUUGUUUGUUUGUUAAAGGCAUGUCGCACAGCUUUCAUCCAGUUAUACUACAAAUCGUGCGAGAUCAAGUAACUGAAAUUACUGCCAGUCGUAAAGGAAAUAUAAUGUUGUAUGACCCAAGCCGAAAAGACAAAACACCCUUAUGCUUCAAAUAUCAAAGCAUUUUCUGCGACAUGUCGCAGACCGCCAAUGCCUAUAGGAUAGCAGAAUUGUACCCGUAAAUUAUUACUAGAGUUGAGAGUAAUUUAGGGUCCGUUUGGUUAGAGAUUUCUAGUAACGUUGUUUGUAUUUUUUGGAAUUACGUAAUGUGUGAAAAAUAUGUGUAAUGUUGGUUUAACACUUAAAACUAUUGUUUAAACAACGGUAACAAACAGCCAUUAGUUUCAGUCAGUUAAAGCAGUUUGGAUGCUUUUAGAGGUUCAGUUCAGUUUGUUAGAGAUUAAGCGAACAAUUUUUUUUUUUUUUUUUUCUCAAUUCUCAGGCCAACGUUGAUGUGUCAACUCCAGCCCACCAAGCAGAAAGAGUCAAUUCCCAACAUUCUCAGUCUCUAUCUUUCCAAAACUUGUCAGGGCCUUUUGCUGUGGAGGAUGAUUGGUCUGCGUAAAGAGAGAUAGAUGGUUUAUACAUUCUGCAGAAACUAAACUUUACUUACCCCACUGCGUCAUCAAUUGUCACUGCACAAAUGCCUGCUGUGUUUGCUGUCAACAACUCAUCCUCAGUCUAUGGCAUUGUAGAUUAGGGCACCCUUCUUUUUCUAGAAUAGGCCAUUAGAGCAUCUUCUUCCACUUGCUCAUGAUUCCAAUAAUGAGAAUUCUCACUGUACAUUUUGUCCUUUAGCGAACAGAAAAGGUUACCUUCUCCUAAUGCAAUUCAUGUUUCAGCUAUUCUUUUGCAUUGGUCCAUUAUGAUAUUUGGGGUUCUUUCUCUACUGCCAUGUUGAUGGUUUUAAAUACUUAUUAAUUAUUGUUGAUGAUUGUAUCCAUGAUAAUUGGUCUAUUUAAUGGAGCAUUUGGGGCUUUGGGAUGGGUUAAAAUGAAUUUUCCUUCUGCCCCUCCAAAACCUACUCCUAAAAAGUUGCUGGCUUUUCAGCCCUUGCGUGCUAGCGUUUUCUCUUACUAGUAAAGGGGCUGCUAGUUGUAGUGCGCAGUGUACUAGUAAAAUAGGAAAAGCGGAUUGAGAUUACCAAUAACAGAUGGAGGUUGAGAAUAGAACAUGUUCAGUGCCUUGCCCUUGUCUCCUUCGCCGGAGACUGCAAAUGAUGGGAAUCCUAUCAAUUAAGAAGAGGCAUGGGCAUCGCCUCUCGAUCCCCCCACCCCUUCUUUCUUUUUUACAAAAAUUCUGGUUGGUUUAGCGUUAUGUAAAAUUUUGUUAAUGGAGAUUAUUGCUAUACCAUGUUGUGUGGAUAUAUGUAUAAUUUUUCAAAGUUAGUUUAAGUAAAUGUGUGCCAUGAUGUUGAGGUUUAGGAAUAUGAAUUCUUUUAAAUGAAGGCUAUGAAUUCCCGCUCAUGGUUUUGUCAUUCCAGAUCCUAUUUUCAAUGUCUUAUGUUUCUUGUUUUUGGAUAAUUUAUUAUUUUUUGUUUUAAAUUGAUGGGUAGUUCUUAGAUUUUGGCUUUCUCUUCAACUUUAUUUUUUGUCACUGUUUGGUGUCAAUUCCAUCCUUCGUAUGCUUUCGUUGUCAACUUGUUCCUGUGGCAGUGUGUGUUAGGAACCUGCCCUGGUAUCAUGGUGCAUUAUGUGUGCUGUGCUGCUGCUCAAUGGAGGUGCUAAUUAUGUUAAUGCUACUAUCAUGGCCAGUAUUGUUUUGGCUACUGAAUUGUGUAACCUGCUGUGCUGAUGCCUGCUGUACUGGUGCUGAAAUGCUUGGCAUUGAGUAUCCGGCUGAGCUGAUACCUGCUGCUGAUAUGCCACAAGCAUUAGGUUAGGAGACUUAACACUUGAGAGCUGCUGCCUGCCCUAUCUACUGAGUCUUGUGGUGGCUGUACUAAGCUGUUUGGAGAAGCUAUGGAUGAGAAUGCAAGUGUGCAAGGGUGUGCAUGAGAACAGAUUAGCAUUAGGCCAUGGGUGUAACUGAUUUAGCAUGUGCUGUAUUAAAGGGCUGUUAGGUAAUUAGGGGUAGUUGUAAAUGAAGGAAGGGGUUUCAUAAGCAAACUAGCAUUAUUAGAUCACUUAAAGUUGUCCUUCCCUGAUUAAUUGAUAGCAUAUAUCUAUCUUUUUUUCUAGGCAGAGGCAUUUUUGAAAUACUUCCUAGGCUUAAUAAAAUUACAUUUGAUAGUGUGAUUGAUGAACUAUUGUUUCUCAAUUUUCCACUUGAGUGUAGGUUGCCUUCUGGUUUGAUGAUGUUGGAAUAGGGAAAAACAAAUCAACAGAGUAUCUAUGAGCAACUGCAUGUUCAUGAGAAUCAACUGCAUAUUAUUUAUGCUCAUGAUUUGAAGGUUCCUGGUGACGGGUUGUCAUCUUGAGGACACAGGAUUUUCCAGAAGGUACACAUGGUGUUUGCAGAUUGCUGAGGUUGUCAAUAGUAUGAAAGAUUUAAUGACUUUCUGCCGGGAUAAUGACAUCAGGCCAAUGGGUAAGUAGUUCUCACAUCACAUGCUGCAGUGAUAGCAUGCAAUACUGUCCCCUCUCCCCAUGAAUUAUGGAUCAUUACUUAAAAGAAAAAAGAAAAAAAAAAGGCACACACCAUUUUAGAUUGUUUCUUGAGUUCUUCUCCCCAUUGGCCUUCUUUUCUGUUGAUAUAAUAUCAAUAAUCAAUUGUAGAGAGCUUGAAAAAUUAUUCCUGAGAAACCACCACAACUAAUCUCUGGAAAAAAAAUUAAAAGAAAAGGUGGGUAUAAGGUGUGCUCAAUGCCAGCCAACUGAAAAAGAUAAGUUGAUGGCUACUUUUACUGCUCCCGCCUCCCAGCAGUAAUGUGAAUGAUAGUCUAAAGAUGAUCAACUGAGGACAUUUGACUAGCUCAGAACAGGCAGCAUCAGUACUGCCAGGUUAUUGCAACAAUUUUCUGAGAUAGAACUCCUUGGCCUCGAGUAAACAGGGUAAGGCAAGAGAGUUCUUCAAAUGUGUCUAACCACAGUGCACCUUGUUAAACUGUAUAGAGGCCCUAAAACCUCAGUUCAGGACUAAUCCAAAACUCACCAAUUGAUGGCUUGUCAAGCAAUCUCAAUGUUUCUAUUUAUUUCUUUGAGAACCGGAAUAUACAUACAGGAUCAUACCAUCCAAAAGACAAAGCAGGAGAUGGUCAACAAAAGACGAAAAGCGAAUGGGAAUACUGCGGACAGAGUCAACUGCUAGAUCAACCGAAGGACAGUUGUUGACUUGCCAACAAGAAGCAGAGUGAUCGAUAUUUUUCAAAACAGUUAAGUUCUGGGAACUGUACAGCAACUGUGGCUGCCCCAGGAAAUGCAUUGCGUAGUAGUGCAGGGAGGAUCAGCAGUUAGGAGCUAUCUUAAUAGUGAAUUUCAUGGCAACAACUUCAACAAGAAGAGAGAACCAGAGGUCCCAGAGAAGCAUCUUCUGCCUGAAGCAAUUUUGAACAUUAUUCCUGAUUGUCAUGAAAAAGGAAAGUUCAGUAGCAGCAGUGGUGGUGAUAUGUGCCAUGGAUGGAAGGCAUAACCAUUUUUGGGGUUAUUUUCUUGUGGAUAAGACAGAAUGUUGGGAAGUAGCUUAGCAUGUACAGGGAGUCCUGAAGCAGUUUUUAUGGGCCCUUUUGAUAAUAUCACAUGAAGUGAAGAUCACUUAUAAGCUACUCUUAGAGACUUUUGAGUACCAUGAGUUGGUAAGGUCUGCAGUCUGCACCUUGUUCAUAAUCAAUGUUUACCCGUGUAAUUUCAUACCCUCACAAUCUUAAAUAGCUUUGAUGAUAUAUAUGACAUCACACCAUAUAUCUUUUGGAAUC